rnacentral:rRNA from 1 species
ACGAACGCUGGCGGCGUGCUUAAAACAUGCAAGUCGAACGGAGACCAUGGAGUCGCAAGACUCCGGAAGUCUGAGUGGCGAACGGGUGCGUAACACGUGAGGAACCUGCCCCAGAGACCGGGAUAACCUCUCGAAAGAGGAGCUAUACCGGAUGUGCUCAUCGGAUCACCUGGUCUGGUGAGGAAAUGGAUUCCGCUCUGGGAUGGCCUCGCGGCCUAUCAGCUUGUUGGUGGGGUAACGGCCUACCAAGGCGACGACGGGUAGCUGGUCUGAGAGGACGAUCAGCCACACUGGGACUGAGACACGGCCCAGACUCCUACGGGAGGCAGCAGUUAGGAAUCUUGCGCAAUGGGCGAAAGCCUGACGCAGCAACGCCGCGUGGGGGAUGAAUGCUCUCGGGUUGUAAACCCCUUUCAGCGGGGACGAUUAUGACGGUACCCGCAGAAGAAGGACCGGCCAACUACGU